rnacentral:rRNA from 1 species
AUGAAGUCGGAAUUGCUAGUAAUGGCAGGUCAGCAUACUGCCGUGAAUACGUUCCCGGGCCUUGUACACACCGCCCGUCACACCAUGAGAGUUGGGAGUACCCGAAGCCUGUGAGCCAACAAACGAGGCAGCAGUCGAAGGUAGAAUCAAUGAUUGGGGUGAAGUCGUAACAAGGUAAC